CAUGGUUCUCGGGUGACACCCCCCCAAAUCAGGCUCCCUCCUCUCUGGUUCUGGGUGCAUCACCCGAGAACCACA
rfam:Myotis brandtii contig256243, whole genome shotgun sequence.